rnacentral:rRNA from 1 species
UACGUAGGUGUCGAGCGUUGUCCGGAUUUAUUGGGCGUAAAGAGCGUGUAGGCGGCCAGGUAGGUCUGCUGUGAAAACUCGAGGCUCAACCUCGAGAUGUCGGCGGAAACCAUCUGGCUAGAGUCCGGAAGAGGAAAGUGGAAUUCCUGGUGUAGCGGUGAAAUGCGCAGAUAUCAGGAAGAACACCCGUGGCUAAGGCGGCUCUCUAGUACGGUACUGACGCUGAGACGCGAAAGCGUGGGGAGCGAACAGG